UACGUAGGGUGCAAGCGUUGUCCGGAAUUGAUUGGCGUAAAGAGCUCGUAGGCGGUUUGUCGCGUCUGCUGUGAAAACCCGAGGCUCAACCUCGGGCCUGCAGUGGGUACGGGCAGACUAGAGUGCGGUAGGGGAGAUUGGAAUUCCUGGUGUAGCGGUGGAAUGCGCAGAUAUCAGGAGGAACACCAAUGGCGAAGGCAGCUCGCUGGGACGGUACUGACGCUGAGAGACGAAAGCUAGGGGAGCGAAUGGG
rnacentral:rRNA from 1 species